rnacentral:misc_RNA from 1 species
GUGAGUCAUCGAAUCUUUGAACGCACAUUGCGCCCCCUGGCAUUCCGGGGGGCAUGCCUGUCCGAGCGUCAUUGCAACCCUCAAGCGCGGCUUGUGUUAUGGGCUUCGUCACCCUGUGGACGUGCCCCAAAUUCAGUUGUCAGGGCCGUGAUCGGCGCCCGAGCGAAUGGGAGAUCCACUAGCUCAGAGGGCACGACCUCCCCCGACACAGACGUCUAUAUCAUCAAGGUUGACCUCGGAUCAGGUAGGGAUACCCGCUGAACUUAAGCAUAUCAAUAAGCGGAGGA